ensembl:lncRNA
AACAUGACACACACAAAAAAAGAAAAUAAAGUAAAUAUUAUUUGUUUAAAGUGAAAUCUCUGAUUGUAAUUGCUGUAAUCUACAAAACGGUACGAAUAAUAAAACGUUUUUUAAUAGCGAGCGCCAACACAUUGAAGAGUUUAGGCUAACGUUAGGUUAGCCUACUUUCCACAAACUUUUACAAUGGCUUAUUUAAAUGGUAUUUGGUGAGUUUUAUUCUCUUUAAUCUUGAAAAUAUUCAUUAUUUUGUUGAAUAUUUCUGAAUAGUGCCAUUUGGAAAUUAAAAGAAGCUAUUUUGUCCAGUAAGUUAACAGUUAAUAAACUCGACUGGAACAUCUUGUUUGAUUUGACCAUAUAAGUUAGUUACUUUGAAAUAAAAACAAUAAAAUAUCAAUACACUCAGUUUAAGAAUUUUUCCUUCACUUGGCUGCAACCACCGUGACCGUUCACGACGAUCUACCGCGUUCAAGAUGGCGAGGCUUGCACGAGGAGGACAAACGAAACGCGGAAUGGUUUACUUUCAGGUCAAGAUUUCCCUUUACGAAAUAUUUUAAUCGGUAGUGGACCGCGCUGACAGGAGAUGAAUCAGACCCAGAGAGUGGGAAAUUAUGGGGGAGGCGCGUACAUCCGGCGCCCCACUGUCUCCUGUUGUCUCGCUGGAAAUUAAUUUGCAUUUCCCUUGCUUUCUUAAAAUUCCUCUCUCUGGUGAAUUCCUCUCCAUAUCUGGAAGGCCUGUUUUUUGGACACCCUCACUGCUGGGAUCGAGUCUAACACCUGUGCGUGAACAUCACUUUGCAGACAGACCAGAUUAUUACUGUCAAGACUCUUGACGAUGUAAAUGCAUCUUAUCCAGCAAGCUUUCCAGAACCGUUCUGCUACAUUUGAGCUGAUGCACCCGGGAGCAAGAGAUGCUUCACAGUCAGAUCAACUCAUGAGGAUCAUAAAAUGAGCAGAUAUGGACUUGCUUACAAACAGGGGCAUACUGUUUUGCCAAGCCAAACUGCUUGUUAAUGUUCAAGUGCAUCCUUGACUAUUUCUUUUAAAUGAACAGGCACAGAAAAGCUCAUGGAGAUGAAUUUCAAUGCAUGACAAGGCAGUAGCAUCUGUCUGGCGUCUGAUGAGAAAUAAACCAGCAUAAAGAGAACUGCAUGUAAUCAGUCUGUUCAAGUUGAAUCUCUCGAAUAACUUGGGCAAAACUUUUGAUGAGCUUUUAAUGGCAUGUCUUUCAACAUAAAAAAAAAAAAAAGAAAUAUUGGACUGGAAACAGACUGUGGUUUUAUGGGAUUAGCAUUAGUCUGACAACUUUCUGAUGGUGCUCUGUGGCAGCAAGAUGAUAAAGACCAAUAUUCAAUUACAAUUAUAAAAUAAAAAAACAAUCUAUAUCCCAUCACCCCAUGCACUUUUAAAUGCACUGUUUAUUAUGUCUUAUGGUUGUUUUUUGCCAUUCACUCCUAUACUCAGAGCUUAAUCUUGUUCUGUAUGCAGUUCAGUCAUUUACAGGAAUGACAACGACAUUCUCCAACCAAAUAAGCAAUUUUUAUUACAAGUAAUAUACUUUUAUUAGUAAGCUGUUUACAACUGACAAGCAACUUG